AAAAAAAAAGAACCGCAUUUCCUUUUUGACUUAAGAGGGAGAGAGAGAGGAGAAGCGGAGGCUGGGGGCUGGUGGACGCAUCGAGCUAUCUCUGGUCCCGAUUGUGAACUUGGCAGCGGCUGUUUGGCGUAAAUAACCCCAGCGGCCGCUAACCAGGAACACCUGCCGGCCCCGUUACCCGGAACGGGAGGAGAAGAUGGGCAUCUCCAGCGGAAUUCCACCGCGGCAAUAUGGAAGUGUUUAAAGGAAGACCUGUCCCGCUCAGGGUAGCAGAGAUCUGAACCUUUAAAUUGCAGCCAUUCCCGGCCUGACGAUAAGCUCCAGAACUUACUUUCUACACCAGGCUUCCAACUUUCGUCCUCAGAUUUGCACCCUGACUCUACCCCUGAUGGAUUUUUAAAUUACCCAUGAGGAAUGGGAUUUCAUCUCUGUGAUCAGGUUGCCCCUACCAGCAGGGUGGGCUGGACUCAGAGGUUUUAGGUACACCCAGCACCAAAAACCUACACUAGACACAGCUCUUGGAGGUCCUCCAAAAGAAUAACCUCGUUUCCCAUUAGAGUUUAGUUUCUCAGAUAACUGGGAGAAAGAAAAAACCCUCUGCAUUUGUCUUCCUAUGGAAGGAAGAGAGGAGAGCUGAAGAACAUAUUUUCAGAUGGAAGAGCAUCUUUCCUAUCCUUUUCUAGUGAAGAUCCAGUCUGCUUUGUGGUUAAAAGUGCAAUUUCCUCAGUAAUCCUCCCAUUUCAGACAACCCACUCCUGGCUGAAGCCAAAGCUCCAUGGUCCAUGUGAAAUCCCACCUGCAAGUCUGCAACUGCCUGUGAAGAAGUGAGUCUGCUCCUCACAAAAUGUAUUUUAGCUGCUCUCCUUAGGGAUUUUGGGCUUAUGCACUCCCUGGGUCUGGGUUGUAUCUGUGUAUCCAUCUGUCAAAUGGGAUUAAUGAGCCAAAGUCUCCCUAAAUAUUAACUCCCUACAUGUUUCAUAAAAUAGUCAGAGGCAGAAAUUUGGCUUAAUGUCCUCCUUAAAGGGAAAGCUGGAUUGCCUGUCCAUGCUGUAAAAAUCAUACACAAAUCCACAGGGCAUCAAACGAGGCUCACAGCACAAAUCCUUAAUUUUUCUCAUAAAACUACAGGUUUCAAACAUGCUGUAUAAUAAAGGGACUGAAAGACCUGCAAUAUUCAGGCUGGCCCAGGCUGUGAAGUCAGGCAGUGGUUUGGGGUUACAGGACAUGUAAACUGACAUGAGCAGUGAUUUGUGUGUACCCCAAAAGAGCACAGGUAAAGCUGUAUUUUCUUCUCUGGAAGAUGCAUUUACAGAGAUUCAUUUUUAAUAAGAGAGUCAUAAAAGAAACCUAUAAAUGAUAACGAACAGAGGCUCAGCUGUGUCAAACCCUGUGAUGCUGCUAAGGAAAUGGGAAGAGCUGCAGAGUUUCAACAUCUUUGAAAAUCUGAAUAUUCACUGAAUAUUUUGAGUCAGCUUCCUCUGCCAAAGGAAAAUGAAAUUUUCCAAAUCUGUGCCAAACUCUGACGUUCAUGAACAGCUCCUCAAGUAGGUUUGGAUGAUGUAACCAAUAAUUAUGAAUCCCUCCUCCACUUUCUAAAUUACAUCUGGUUGAGAUGAAUUUUUAUGUGGAUAACACAACCAAAAUCUGGAAGACUCUGUUUGUGCUAAACUUUAUUAGGCAGUUACAUUAUGACAUAUAAAAUUCAAGAAAAAGGAAUUCUGACCUGUGAGAUGGUGAUGCUCUGGCACAGGUUGCCCAGAGCAGCUGUGGCUGCCCCUGGAUCCCUGGCAGUGCCCAAGGCCAGGUAGGA